rnacentral:rRNA from 6 species
GGCCGUAGCGCGGUGGUCCCACCUGACCCCAUGCCGAACUCAGAAGUGAAACGCCGUAGCGCCGAUGGUAGUGUGGGGUCUCCCCAUGCGAGAGUAGGGAACUGCCAGGC